rnacentral:rRNA from 1 species
UACGGAGGGGGCUAGCGUUGUUCGGAAUUACUGGGCGUAAAGCGCGCGUAGGCGGACCUGCAAGUCGGGGGUGAAAGCCCGAGGCUCGACCUCGGAACUGCCUUCGAUACUGCGGGUCUCGAGUCCGGGAGAGGUGAGUGGAAUUCCUAGUGUAGAGGUGAAAUUCGUAGAUAUUAGGAAGAACACCAGUGGCGAAGGCGGCUCAGCUGGCCCGGUACUGACGCUGAGGCGCGAAAGCGUGGGGAGCAAACAGG